CGAUGGAUUUCCUUCGUCUGCGAUUAGGGGUUUGCUUAAGAAUACUAAAUAGUUCUAUGGGAAACUUGCCGACGGUCCUACUAAAAGGAAGGGAAGAAAAUUUCACAGCCGACUACUUCUAAGGGCGAUGGUGAAGAGCUGAGCUGCAAUACUGAAAGGCCUGACGUGACGGUUCCUUGCGUGACCGGAGUCCACAGCCCAAUAUUUCAUCGCCUUCGGGAUUACAUGACCUUACAUACAAGCUGGUCGCUGGUUAAAUUCACGCUCACCAGGUCUGGCUUCUCCUCGCAGAUUUUUUGUAAAAGCCUUUUACUGCAGAUGUUGAUUGGCGUGGAGUAACAGAAGUAUCGAAUGGAACGUUUGAUCACGCAUGUUCGAAGACUUCCGGUCCGAAAGAAGAAAACGAGAGGGACACCAGUGAGUGGGUGCGAAAUCACGGCAAAUUUCUGCGGGUAUGAAUACCAGUUCUCAAACAGAGCUUUUAUGGACGGAAAAUGUACUGUGUGUCACUUGAGAAUGAAAGAUAUGUCACAGAAUGUAGAAUGUGAACAUAGAUUUUGUAAAACCUGAAUGGAAUCCUUAUUGAGACAGCCGUUGCCGACAUGCCCAGCUGAUCGCCAGCCAUUGUCAAGUGAGAAG